rnacentral:rRNA from 1 species
UACGAAGGGGGCUAGCGUUGUUCGGAAUCACUGGGCGUAAAGGGCGCGUAGGCGGCUUUAUAAGUCAGAGGUGAAAUCCCGGAGCUCAACUUCGGAACUGCCUUUGAUACUGGCAAUCUAGAGUCCGGAAGAGGUUAGUGGAAUUCCCAGUGUAGAGGUGAAAUUCGUAGAUACUGGGAAGAACACCAGUGGCGAAGGCGGCUAACUGGUCCGGUACUGACGCUGAGGUGCGAAAGCGUGGGGAGCAAACAGG